CGAGUGAAGCGGGAAGAGCUCAAAUUUGAAAUCUGGUGGCCUCAGGUCAUCCGAGUUGUAAUCUAUAGAAACGUUUUCCGCGCUGGCUCAUGUACAAGUCCCUUGGAACAGGGCGUCAUAGAGGGUGAGAAUCCCGUCCUUGACAUGAACCACCAGUGCUAUGUGAUACGUUUUCAACGAGUCGAGUUGUUUGGGAAUGCAGCUCAAAAUGGGUGGUAAAUUCCAUCUAAAGCUAAAUAUUGGCGAGAGACCGAUAGCGAACAAGUACCGUGAGGGAAAGAUGAAAAGCACUUUGGAAAGAGAGUUAAACAGUAUGUGAAAUUGUUGAAAGGGAAACGAUUGAAGUCAGUCAUGUCCUUGGAAUUUCAGCCGGUUCUGCCGGUGUACUUUCCUUGGGUGGGGUCAACAUCAGUUUUGAUUGCUGGAUAAAGGCUGGAGGAAUGUAGCACUCUCGGGUGAACUUAUAGCCUCCUGUCGCAUACAGUGGUUGGGACUGAGGAACGCAGCUUGCCUUUAUGGCCGGGAUUCGUCCACGUACAAGCUUAGG
rnacentral:rRNA from 1 species